GAUGAACGCUGGCGGCGUGCUUAACACAUGCAUGUCGAACGGAAAGGCUCCUGCUUGCAGGGGUACUCGAGUGGCGAACGGGUGAGUAACACGUGGGUGAUCUGCCCUGCACUUCGGGAUAAGCCUGGGAAACUGGGUCUAAUACCGGAUAGGACGAUGGUUUGGAUGCCAUUGUGGAAAGUUUUUUCGGUGUGGGAUGAGCUCGCGGCCUAUCAGCUUGUUGGUGGGGUAAUGGCCUACCAAGGCGUCGACGGGUAGCCGGCCUGAGAGGGUGUACGGCCACAUUGGGACUGAGAUACGGCCCAGACUCCUACGGGAGGCAGCAGUGGGGAAUAUUGCACAAUGGGCGCAAGCCUGAUGCAGCGACGCCGCGUGGGGGAUGACGGCCUUCGGGUUGUAAACUCCUUUCGCUAGGGACGAAGCGCAAGUGACGGUACCUGGAGAGGAAGCACCGGCUAACUACGUG
rnacentral:rRNA from 1 species